GUCCACGCCGUAAACGAUAAUCACUAGAUGUUGGUUCGGCUUAGCUGGAUCAGUGUCGUAGCUAACGCGUUAAGUGAUUCGCCUGGGGAGUAUGGUCGCAAGGCUAAACUUAAAGAAUUGACGGGGUCCGCACAAGCGGUGGAACAUGUGGUUUAAUUCGACACUACGCGAGAAACCUUACCUGGGCUUGACAUGUACUCGACAGCUGUAGAAAUACGGUCUUUUGGGCUUCGGUUCAAACGGGUACACAGGUGCUGCAUGGCUGUCGU
rnacentral:rRNA from 1 species